UAGUGUUGUCCCCCCAAGUGGC
rnacentral:miRNA from 1 species